AGGGUGUACAGGGAGCAUGGUGCCAGCAUCUGCUUCUGAUGAGGCCUCAGGAAGCUUCCAAUCAUGGCAAAACGUGAAGUGGGAGCAGACACAUCACAUGGUUGAAUGGCGUCUCACCUGCUGACUAUACGAGUCUGAUGGGAAAAGCACGCUGCUUCCUCCAUUCCCAGCGGGAUCAAAUACACUGAGCGCAUCACCCAGCCUUGUAGCCUUCCGCAUCCUGGGGAGAGGGGUCCCAGCCAGCACUCGUGGUGAGAACAGAGCUCCCUCUCGG
rnacentral:lncRNA from 10 species